GUGUGUAGACCUUGUACAAUAGAGCUUAUAGGCUAAUGAGAAGACAGGAAGAAACAACAGGAACACAUAUAGCUGGAAUGCAGAUGGGAUCUGUGCUACUUACGCUAGCCAUGGGAUGAUUAGAACAAGAUAAGAGACAUGAGGAAGACUUCUUCAAGGAGGUGCUCAAGCCAUGUUUUGGAAAAGAGAACUCAAGGUCUGGCAGGGAGAAAGGAGCAAGAGUAGACUUUGAGUCUUUGCUUCAGAUGCAGAUCAAGAUGUGGCAACCUGUUGUGGAGAACUGGGUCCCUUGAGCCUGUGCUGUCUCUUUUUUUCUGGUGGCUUUGUCAUUUGGAACAAUGCAUAAUGGGCUGGAGGCUGAGAAACUCUGAGCUGAGGUGACACAAGGAUGACAGGAACAGUUAUCAGGGAAGCACACUGAUCGACUGAGCUGCCUGCUCCUGGCCUUCUGGAUCCUCCUCAGUUCCUGCUUAUCUCUAGGCCAGGCUCUCAACUCUGUCAAUUCUGGCAAGUAGAGCUGCAGCUGUCUGGCGCCACUGUAAUGCUGUCUCCUCCUCUGAGUGAGUUCAUCCUGGAAACAUUUUCUCCCAUAAGACAUGCACAGGUCUUACGUUUACAUGUUUCACUGAAAGAAAUUUGAUUCCACUGCUGGGAUGACAAGGAAGACUGAAGAAACCUAAUCCUAGGUGCUGCCACUGGGACAAACAAGAAGCACCAGACACAGUGCUGUUUUAGGGUGGGGCAGAAUUAUGCUGAGGGAAAAGUUAUUAUCACUCUUUAAGGCCAAGGAAACCACAAUUUUUAAAGAAGCUUCUAGAAAUUCUACCCAGUAGAAAAUAAAGAUAAACUUCUGUAAGGAAUUUCAUUCUUUUCAGAAUUCGCAAUCUGAAAUGUAGAAGCCCAUUCCUUCAUGGUUCUCAUAGAUAUUUAGUGUGACUGAGGGGUCAGUGGACUCAUAGCACUCAGGCCAGGCUUCUCCUGAGUCCCUUUCUUUGGCACAGAGGGAGUGAUUCACAGAUCCUCUACCCCCAAAGGCAUUGUUUCCUCAUCUCAACAAGAAUCCAGCACCCGUCAUUUUAUCAGCACACGUCACUAGCUUCUCAAGUGAGACUACUCUGAAGUGAUCUGUGUUUGAAGAAUGCCUUUCCCUUUCCCUUACGUAACUAAGAGGAUGAAAAAGGACACUCACUCCCUAUAUGAAAGCUGUGUAUUGUAAGCAGUCAUCUUGCCUGGCUGAGAACUCUAGGAUCUUUUUCUCUGCUCUCCUUUAGGCUGACACUCAUAGCCAGACCUUCUGUUUAUUAGCCCCCUGAAUCUAUUUGAAAAUAUUUUUGCUUUCAUUAUAAUAUAAGUCACAUUCUUCUUGCAUCUGCCGCUGCAUUUUCCAAAAGGGUUAUGUCAAGGGAAAUUCAACACUCACUUUUCUCAUUAUUUGCUUACCAGCUUGCUCACUCAUCAAAAUACCAGAGUUAUUUGAUACUUCAGAAGAUUAUUUCCCCCUUUAGAUGAUGUGUCAAGGGAAGGGGAGCUGGCCCCAGUAUCAGGUGACAGAAUUUUCUUCGCAUUUCUACUGUUGACUCAAUAAAUGCCCUUGGGCAAGUCA
rnacentral:lncRNA from 1 species